rnacentral:rRNA from 1 species
GACGAACGCUGGCGGCGUGCUUAACACAUGCAAGUCGAACGGCAAGGCCCUGCUUUUGUGGGGUGCUCGAUUGGCGAUCGGGUGAGUAUCACGUGUGUAUCCUGCCCUUCACUUUGGUAUAACUUCAGGUAACUGGGGCUAAUACCGGAUAGCAUCUCCUGCUGCAUGGUGGGGGUUGGAAAGUUUCGGCGGUUGGGGAUGGACUCGCGGCUUAUCAGCUUGUUGGUGGGGUAGUGGCUUACCAAGGCUUUGACGGGUAGCAGGCAUGAGAGGGUGACCGGGCACAUGGGGACUGAGAGAGGGCCCAGAGGGGAAAGGGAGGCAGCAGUGGGGAAUAUGGAACAAUGGGAGGAAGCCGGAUGAAGAAACGCAGGGUGCGGGAUGACGGCCUUCGGGGAGAAAAAAGCAGUAGCCUGUGACGAAGCGGGAGUGACGGUAAUGGGAAAAGAAGCACCGGCUAACUACGUG